rnacentral:rRNA from 1 species
CCCUUAGAUGUCCUGGGCCGCACGCGCGCUACACUGAACGGAUCAGCGCGUUUUCCCUUCCCGAGAGGGACGGGUAACCUGCUGAACCCCGUCCGUGGUAGGGAUCGGGGCUUGCAAUUAUUCCCCGUGAACCAGGAAUGCCCAGUAAGUGCAAGUCAUAAGCUUGCGUUGAUUACGUCCCUGCCCUUUGUACACACCGCCCGUCGCUACUACCGAUUGAACGUUUUAGUGAGGUACUCGGACUGAGCCUCAGAAGAUUCACGUCUUUUGUGCUGCUCGGGAAGAUUCCCAAACUUGAGCGUUUAGAGGAAGUAAAAGUCGUAACA